AUCUCUCUAGCUCCUGUAAAGUGCUAGAUUUACAGUUGUAUAUACAUGCACACAUUUUUGUUUGGUUUGUUUUUGAGCCUUGGUCUACUGUUUUCAAGGUUGGCUUCAAACUUGCCAUAGCAACAGGGAUGGCCUUGAAAUGCUCACCAUCCUGCUGUCGUGAUCACAGGCAAGACUGCAAGCCUGGCUUGUGCAGUGCUGAGAUUUGAAACAAAGUCCUUACACAUGCUGGGCAAGCACUCUGCCAACUAUGCUACAUUUCCAGCCUUUUGUAAUGCUUUUGAUAACCAUUAUUUGAGUAACAUGUUAACAAUAGAUUAUAAAAAGGUACGUUGAAAUUUCACUUCUCAGAGCUACAGUGAGCACUGGAUAUAAAUGUGCAUAUACUACCUGUACUUAAGGUGGGUGGAGAGUAUUGGCUGGGUUUGGAGCCAGCCUGGGCUAUAUAACAAGGCGGUCUCAGAAAACAUCUCCAACAAGGCCACAAAUCCCAUUCCUUCUUCAACUGUUCUAUUAACUGCAAGCCAAGCAUUAACAUUGUUAUGCUUAUAGGAGCCAUUCUCACCCGAGCCACCACAUUUGGUAUUUCCUAUAGAAGACUGUCUUGUGUUAUUUGGCAUCAAACUAAAUGAGAACCUUUCUCAAACAGCAACAAAGUAGUUUAGGGCCAGUGAGAUGGUUCAGUGAGCAAGUAAAGGGCACUUGCUGCUAAGCUGGAGAUGCCUCCCACACUCAAGCUCACACACUCAUGCUCACACACUCACACACAUACACACUCACACACAUACACAUACAACCACACACAGAGAUACACACACACACACAUUUAUCAGUAAAUGUAAAAAAAAAGUUUAAAAGAGGAUUAGCUAACAACAAAUUACCUUCUUACAAAAAGAUUUUACUUAAAAUAUGGAAAGUCUUCCCUUUUUGGCUCUGCUGAUUCGGGGGAGAGAAGUAUGUGGUAACUUAGCUCAUUAGUGUGAAGCUAGGAACUGGUGCCUUUCAGCCUUAGGCAAGGCAUGGGUGGGUUAGUGAACUACCCUGACUCACUUGUCUUGUGUUAGCUGUAGAGUUGGGUGACGCUUAAGUUGGAGUGAGUUUGGUGCCGUAAGCUGAGGUGAGUAGUAGCAGUUAAAUGGUUUUGAUAUCUGAGACACUGUUUCUUAGCUGAAAUAAUAAUGUUUCUUAUUAAUACAAAUUUAGCAAUGUUUCUAACAUCCCUUUCUUGUUCUGUUUUCCUUUGUGUUGUCUGCCUUUUACCCUUUAGCUGGUAAUACUUUGGUCCAGCAAGGUGGACAGCCACUCAUCCUCACCCAAAACCCAGCACCAGGUCUGGGAACAAUGGUUACUCAACCAGUAUUGAGACCUGUCCAGGUCAUGCAGAAUGCCAAUCAUGUGACUAGCUCCCCUGUGGCCUCACAACCUAUCUUCAUCACUACCCAGGUGAGUGGGACUUUGAAUUCUAGGCCUGGUAGGGGAGAUAGACUGUGAGCCUCUAGAGGCUUAGCCUUGGACAGGGUCUUCAUCACUGUUAGAGUUCUGUCUGUUGAACUGAGUUUCUCUGGACUGUUUCACGGGAUCCUGCCUAUGAAGUGCCCAGCAUAGCAUCAUGGCUACAUGAUAUUUUCAUACACCUGAGAGGUCUGUUGAGUUGAUUCAAGUCUGAACAGAAAUCAUCAUUGGGAAACUUAAAAUUAGAAAGGCUUCACUCAGGACUAGAGAGCUGGCUUACCCAAGAAGAGCAUUUGUUGUUCUAGCACAGGACCCAGGUUCAAUUCCCAGCACCUAUAUGUCAGCUCACAACUGUGUCUGUAACUUCACUUUCAGAAGACCUGAUACCUUCUGACCUCCAUAGACACCAGGCAUCCCUGUGGUGCGCAUACAUAUGUUCAGGGAAAACACUCAUACGC
rnacentral:lncRNA from 1 species